UUGUUCACUUGUGUUGUGCAAAAUGUAGUUUGUCAGCUGGUGUCGUGCAGUAUGUAGUUUGUCCACUGCUGUUGCGCAGUAUGUAGUUUGUCCACUGGUGUUGUGCAGUAUGUAGUUUGUCUUUUAGUGUUGUGGAGUAUGUAGUUUGUCUUUUAGUGUUGUGCAGUAUGUAGUUUGUCUCUUAGUGUUGUGGAGUAUGUAGUUUGUCUUUUAGUGUUGUGGAGUAUGUAUCUUGUUUUUUAGUGUUUUCCAAUAUGUAGUUUGUCUUUUAGUGUUGUGCAGUAUGUAGUCUGUCUACUAGUGUUGUGCAGUAUGUAAUUUGUCUACUGGUCUUGUGCAGUAUGUAGUUUGUCUGUCAGUGAUGUGCAAGACAUACUUUGUCUUUUAGUGACAUGCAGUAUGUAGUUUGUUUACUGGUAUUGUGUUGUAUGUAGUUUGUCUGCUGGUGUCAUCCAGUUCAUAUUUUGUCUUUUAGUGUUAUGCAGUUUGUAGUUUGUCUACUGGUGUCAUGCAUUGCGUAGUUUGUCUUUUGCUGUCAUGCUGUACACAGUUUGUAUUUUGGUGAACUGUUAUGUGCUGAAAUGGAUUGUGGAGAUACUGAUUUUAUGAGGGCUCUUCUUCAUUUUAAUUUUUUUGUUAUACUGUUAGAAAUGGCAUUUUAUGAAUUAUGAGAUUUAUUCUCACAACUCCUUGUGUAGCAAACCCUUCCACCAACAUACUAAUAUGUCCCAAGCCUUUUUUAUGAAUCCUUGUUCUAUUAGAGGACUGCAUGUAUCAGUAAUUUCUUGGAAUGCCCGAUAUACAUAGCAGCCAUGUGGAUAAUCUAUAGUGACCACUGCAUGUGAAGAUGUGAAGGUUAGCACAGUAGAGUCAUACCCAUGGCUCUAGCAUAAAACCAUGCUAACUCACUAAAUGAAAAUGUGUGGCUUUUCUAUACAGCCAGCAUACUUUUUGUUUCUGCAGUUGUUAUUAGACAACAAUUUUUCCAUUCUCUUUUUUUCUGUGCCCUUCCUGUGCUAGUAUAGUUGUGCUAAUUAGAUUUUAGGGACAGCUGUAUGAGUGUGUGUUAUCCAUGCAGGAUUAGAAACAGAGACGGAUGAGUCAACUUGAAUUAUAUUCAUGCUGACCCUCAUAGACACCUUACACUAACAUUCAAUGCAUUUUAGACUUUUUUUAAGAUUUGUACAGCUAUCACUAUCGUGAGCUACAUAUUAGCAUGUUACACCUUAAAUAACGUGUUCUGCUGAUUUAUAAUUUACAAGUAGUUAAGACACGAUGACACCAUCCACAUGGUGGACCUUGGUGUUAGCAUAGUGCUGCCAACAGCUCUUGUCCAUGCUAGUCAGGGCAGUCGUUGCUAGCACGGGUGUGUAAACAAAGUACUGUGUGUGUGUGUGUAUGUGUGUGUGUGUGUAGAAGAGGGCAGAGGUGCAGAAACAGGAGAUGCGUGUAGUGAAACCUAAGCAGCAAGUGAGGUCCACUGUAGGAAAGAGUGAUUAGCAGAAUUAGCACAAACAAACUUGUGUCUUGUUUGUGUUGUGGAGUUAAAAACAAUUUAAAAACAAUAUUCAAAUAUUUACAUAUGAGAUACAGAUUCUUUUCAACUGCCUCUUUUUGGUACCACUUUAGCAGUGCUUUCACACAUAACUCUUUACAUAGUAUGAUUUUAACUUUAUUAAAUUCAUUUAAAUGUUUGAGUUAGGAGAACCUAGCAAGCUAGCUACAUUAAAUGAUAGCUGUACCAUGGCCAAUAUUUUCUUAAUGGACUGGCUUUUUUUUCCCCAGCAGGAACUAAUUAUUUUUUGUGGUAAUCAGUACAGCUCCGUGGCUUUAAUGGCAUAUGGAUGCAACCGAAUCUUCCAGAAAGCAGAACUCUUUUUGACCAGCACUGGUUGGAUCUACAGAAAUUUUCUGGACUCAAUUUCAUCCCUGAGACGACAUUAUACAAAUGAGGAGGAAACAGGAGUCUCCAUCACAGACAGAGUGCAGGAGUGUGCACGCUUUCCUCCAGUCAUGGUGCCAGUGCUGGGUUGGAAAACCUGCUAGUGGUUACUGAUUUUCAGGAGCGAUAAAGUUUCAGCCUCGGCUUGUUUACCUGCACUGACGGAUGGGUGUGGAAACGGAGAAAACACAAGCGGGAGGAGGUGGAGACACGCGCGAGUGGAGGAGAGGAGAGACAGGCAAGCAGAGGGGAGGAGAGACAGAUGAGAAGAGAGGACAAAUGACACAGAAAGAUGGAGGGCAAAAGGGGAAGCUGGAUCUCUUACUCUCCUUCCAUAACUACAGCUCCAGGCUUCACUAACCAGCCUCUCUCUCUCUCCCUCUCUCUCUCACUCCCCCUCUCCCUCUAUCUCACUUGCUUGUUCUCUCUCCCUCUCUCUCUCUCUCUCUCUGGUGUUCUGUCUGUCUAUCUGCCUCUCUGUUUCUCUUUCUCUCUGUUUCUCUUUCUCUCUGUCCUUCUCUCUCUCUCUCUUUCUCUCUCUCUCUCUCUCUCUAGCCCACCUGGUUGUCGGUGUUUGCUGUGUUUUGGAAAGCUCUGUGUCCCUCGUGCCUGUUCUUACCUGUCUGAGACAAACAUUGGACCAUGGCAGGUAGAGCAGGAGCUUUGGAGCAGCACAAACACACACACACACACACACACACACCUCACACUGAGCAAACCUUCACCAGGUGUGCACGCACACAGCCCAGUCUCCAUCAGCGGCCUGUCACGCAAAAGAUGUUUAUCCAAUUUGUCAAGAUAAUCUUUCCUCAAACAAGGCCUGGGCCCAGACGUACACACACACACACACACACACACACACACACAUAAACACACCUCUGAAAUGAAAGCUAGUUCUUCAAUUUUUCCUAGCAAGUGUCAAUGUUCAGGUGAAGCAUUUCUGUCGCACUCACACUGCUGAUUGAUUAUCUACUCAUUUAAUUAUAAUUCAUUUUGAUUGGGUUCCUUUUUAUCUAUCUAUCUAUCUAUCUAUCUAUCUAUCUAUCUAUCUAUCUAUCUAUCUAUCUAUCUAUCUAUCUAUCUAUUCCUGUAUAUAUUUAUUUAUUUAUUUAUUUAUUUGCUUACUAACUUCUUUAUAUUUUUGCUUUCACAGGAUUACAGCUUUCAUAAUGAUGUCACUUUAACUGGAAUAUAAACCCUCAUGCUAAUUAGCAUAAAUUACAUUCACCCUCCCCUCACCCGGAUAUAUAUAUAUAUAUAUAUAUAUAUAUAUAUAUAUAUAUAUAUAUACACACACACACAUUACAGUGCAAGGAAUAAAACCUUCUGUAAUGAAGCUGCUCAUUGGCCAUGCUGUGGAUUACUCUAACCGGAUUUCCCCUGUGAUAUUUACGAGUGCUUAACGAUUCACAAACUUUAUAUUUAGAGACAUUAAUUUAUCCCUUUUGAAAUAGUACAGACAUCUAAACUGGUGCUUACUUUAAUUACAUAGCUGUGACAGCACCUAUGAAGUCUGUGCGAGGAAAACAACAAAUACUGGAAAUCCAAUCAUUUUUCUCAAGUUCCCAUGAAAUGAACUUUACAGCUGUGAUUUGAUUCUGUAUGUUGACGUAUUUCCUUUUGAAACAGGAAGUUGGAGCGAUAGCACUUUUUGACUGAUUUAUUCAACAGCCAGAAGCAUUCCGAAUACUCCAUAUGUAGUAGCUUAGCUAAAUAUAGAGAAAAGCAGAGUUUAUAGAGAGCUGUUUUCAGCCAUGAACAAGGCUAGUAAAGGAUGACUCAGCAGAAAAUCUUUGAAAUAAUAACAAGAAUAUCUCUGAAACUUUUUUGCAUUUGUUCCAGAUUUGUUGUAUCAGUGUCGGUAACACUAAGGAGCCGGACUGAAAAAGCACUGAAACCCAGAUUUUGACCCUUCACACUGAACUAUUUGACGUUUCUAAGAUAUAGAUUUUUUAAGUGAUGAAAAUCCUGUGCAAGUGCAGAGAUGAGCAUGUCAAUUUUACAUCUUUAAUCUCACAACCUUCUAAUAACUAAUGAACAACCUUAAGGCAAGAUAUCCCCUACUGUAUACGAUGCUAUUGCACCAAGUGUGAAUUUCACACACAGUGUACAUUUCAUGUGCACAAGCAGCACUCAAAAUCACAGAAGGAUACACACAUCAGCCAUCUUGCAUAUCUGUGCACGUAGUAAAAAGCAAUUGAUUCUACUUUAAGUGUGAAAGCAACAUUAUGUAUUCAGAUUUAGUGCGCAACGCUAAACUAGUGGCUGUAAGAUUCAAUUACUUAGCUUAAUUAGCCUCAAAGCUCAAACUUCACCACCACCGAACAUGUCCUGGCUGAUCUAUAUGAUCGACUUCAUCUGAGUGAAAAAAAAACAAAAACAUAGAAAGCUUACACACACACACAUACACACAGAUAAUAUUUUAAUGCAAACCCAUCAGGAGCAUGACCCAGUGUGUUCUUUCUUACGAAGCUAUUUGUAGCUAACAAGAAAUAGAAGCUUACAGACACCAGUAUAGCAAUGUACACUAAAUCUUGCUUUCAUACUUAAAAUAAAAUUAUUAAAUUCAAUUUUAUCAGCUCAAACACACACACACACACACGCACACACACACACACAUUGAUAUCAUAUUUUAAUGCAAACCCAGUAGUGGCAGAUCUGUGUGUGUGUGUGUGAGAUUUAAUGCGAUGUUAAGGCAGGCAAACAGUUUAAAAGCCGGGGAAAUACGACCCCUUUGCGCAAUCAGGUGAAAAAUCGCCAUCAAACAGCACCUAAGCCCUGAUAAGGAACGCCAGAGUCAACAGCGAAUUCCUCCUAAUGGAUAAAUCACUGAGGAACGAGACCAAACACACGGCUUCACCUCCACAUGACUUCACUGCACACGCAACACCGGCAACAUUUUCCACUCAGCUGAGCAACGAGCAAAGCGUACACUGUUCAUCUUCCAUGAACACGCAUCAUUUAUAUAUUCACAUGUAAAAUAAGAUGUUGCUUUAUUUGACUGCAUAAAUAAAUAAAUAAAAAAGCCAGAGCAGAGUGUCUAUUUUUGAUAAGUAACUCAGUAGACUUUUAUUUUGUAUGAAAUUACAUUUGACCAAUUAAAAGCCCGGGUAUUGAAAUGUCCUAAAUUUGAAUUGACAAGGCGCAAAAUGUGGUACAAAUUAAUCCUAAUCCUGAGUUGUGUAGGCUUUGAUUAAUUAAUCUGUUUCGAAAAGGACAUCUUCUAACACGGAAAUCAAUUUGAGGAAAUGUUAUUUCAGUGUUGUUUAAAACACUAAAUAGUAAUAUUUCAGUUAAAGUGAAGAGAUAAGCUAAAGCUGAAGUUAAGAAAUAAUCUGUGAAGGCAUCUGUAGCUUGUGUAUGUGGAAGAGGGCAGAGCAGAGUGGUGUCUGGUGAGCAAGGAUUGGCCAAGACCAAACAUUCGGAGACAAAAUAAGCUUGAGAAACCUGAAGAUACCAUGUCUUCUGUGUUAGGGAUCAGAUUGUUGCUUCAAUUCAUAGGACACGUGAGAAAGACUCCAAUAUAACUCCACUAUAACAUAUAAUAAGACGUCCAAUAUAACUGGAGCUCUAUCCAGAGUGUGUUUCUGUGUGUCAAAGCAGCAGUGUUGAGUAAAAAUCUGUUCAGUUCUCAGAGUUAGUGAGAAACCUCAUGUUAUUGCAGGAUGAUUGUGGUAAAAAAAUGUUGGUUUAGUUUUUGUCUUUUUAUGGAACAUAUCAUGGAGCUUGUCCUCACACUGUCCCAGUGAUCUGUGGGUGUGAACCAAUUGCAGGGACAUGAAGUGAUCACUACUACUACUACUGCUACUAUUCCUACUCCUCCUCAUACCUCCUCCUCCUGAUCACUACUACUACUACUACUACUACUACUACUACUACUACUACUACUACUACUACUACUACUACUACUACUACAACAACUACUACUAUUACUACUAUGUGAUCAGGUAGCUUAGUGGUUAAUGUGUUGGCUUACUGAUCAGGAGGUUAUGAGUUUGAAUUUCAUGUCCACCAAGCUAUCACUGCUCGAAUCUUCAGCAAGGCAUUCAAUUGUUCAGUUAAAUAAAAUGUGAUUGUAAGUCCCUCUGGACAAGGGUGUCUGCCAAAUGCCAGAAAUGUAAAUGUACUACUACAAAUAAUAAUAAUAAGGUAAUGGAGGAAAGUGGCAUUGUUUAUAGAGUUGCAUGAGACAUUACCAUAGUUACUCUAACGCACGUUGAAAUUUUAUUGAGGUGUGGAUGCAUUAUUUGAGAUUUCCUGUGAGAGCUUAGCACUGCUAUUAUCACUGAUUAUGUUUUAAAAAUAAACCCAUUUAUUGUGCACUUUAAUGAUGAGGGUGGGUCAAGAUGAGGUUAGGAAGAUGAUUUCAUCGUUGUGGAAUAGGAAGCUAGUAGAGAAACACCUAAAUGACUCAUUUAAUAUACAAGAUAAUAAGCUGAAAUUAUACAAUUUCAUCUCAGAACUCAAAAUCUGGUGCCCUAAAGAGGCCAUGAGUUCAGGCUAUAUGUAGAUAUUUAUUUUUAAAAAAGGAUUUGCUUUUAGCUUUUUUCUUUGUUAAAUUUGACAUUAUAUAUGUAAAAAGAAUAUAAUUAUAUUUGCUUAUUAUUUAUUAUUAGUAAAUCUAUCAGUAGCUUUAUCACACAGCUAGUUAAUUAACUGACAUUAAACACAGCUAGUUAAUUAAUUAACAUUACCACAACAAAACAAAACCUAAUGAAUUAAUAUCAUUCAUUUUUGUAACACUGAUUAUAUUUGAUUACAUCAAAUCACAGAUGAAUUCUGGCUCCUGAUUCACAGGUUUAUUAUAAAUAAUCAGUGCUCAUUAUAAUACAUUAUCUUUUCUACAUUAACAGCUCAUUCACAGAACUGAAGGCUAUUUAAUCUUUAUGGAAUUAGUCAAAAUGAGUCAAAAGUAUAACUCUCAGGUUUCUGACACUGACAGGAAAUCACUCUUUUCUAGGGUUCUACGUUGCGGUCCAUCCUAUCAGACAAGUGAUACACAUCCUUAAGUUUUCUAACUUUUUUGUGUGUUGUCGUGUGUUGUGUAAUAAAACGUUUUGGUUUGAGAGAUAAUAUGUGGAUCUGAGUGAGAAAAUAUCAGAGAAGAAAAUCAGAAAUAGUGAUAAAUGAUAAACAUCUCACCAAGAUGUUAUGUUCUAUAUUUUUUUAUUCAAAUUUUUUUUAUGGAUGAAAAUUUCCAUGUACCUAGAGAUUCAGAUUUUGAUGUG